AGCCUGAAACAACAGAAACACAAAUUCAACCGCCUGUGGCAUCGACAUCUUUUGAUACAUCACUAUCUUUUGAAUCAUCGGCUGAAGAAGACAGUUAUAGUGACGAAGAAUCCCAAAAAUCUCAAUGGAUAGAGGAAAACAUUAAACUAAGAAAUUCUAAAGAUGAGGAGCCAUCAAAACCCUGUGAUGCAUUUGGUAAAAUAAAGUUUACAGGACAUAAUCAGGAAAAUGCAACGGUAUUCUUUUUGCUUGCUUUUUAUUGAUGUUGUUU